CGAAUGCUGACAUAAGUAACGAUAAAGCGGGUGAAAAGCCCGCUCGCCGGAAGACCAAGGGUUCCUGUCCAACGUUAAUCGGGGCAGGGUGAGUCGACCCCUAAGGCGAGGCCGAAAGGCGUAGUCGAUGGGAAACAGGUUAAUAUUCCUGUACUUGGUGUUACUGCGAAGGGGGGACGGAGAAGGCUAUGUUGGCCGGGCGACGGUUGUCCCGGUUUAAGCGUGUAGGCUGGUUUUCCAGGCAAAUCCGGAAAAUCAAGGCUGAGGCGUGAUGACGAGGCACUACGGUGCUGAAGCAACAAAUGCCCUGCUUCCAGGAAAAGCCUCUAAGCAUCAGGUAACAUCAAAUCGUACCCCAAACCGACACAGGUGGUCAGGUAGAGAAUACCAAGGCGCUUGAGAGAACUCGGGUGAAGGAACUAGGCAAAAUGGUGCCGUAACUUCGGGAGAAGGCACGCUGAUAUGUAGGUGAAGUCCCUCGCGGAUGGAGCUGAAAUCAGUCGAAGAUACCAGCUGGCUGCAACUGUUUAUUAAAAACACAGCACUGUGC
rnacentral:rRNA from 1 species